UUCUCCUUUUACAAGCAAGUUCCAAAGUUGUAACUGUAUGCCAAUUAAUUGGUUUCUGAAGCAAUAACUGAAAAUAAGUUGCAAAUUCCUUUCUAGCCUACUAAUAUUGUUAAUUGCUUAAGGUUCAGUUUAUCUACCAGUGAUGAUGUCAUGGAUGGGUUAUUAUUUUUAUUUUUUAUUUUACCAUGUGAAUCGAUGCCUUGAUUUUACUUGUAUAUUUAGCUUUUCAUUUAUAUUUAUUAUAUGUACAUUUCGUGAUUUUGGAUGAAGCUCAAUCAAUUAACAGUUUGUUUUUAACUUUUAAGAUAUUAUGUGCCGCCAAGAACUCUGACAAUGAUGAUGGUGAAGGGGAUUUGAUGUUAGUAUGUAGAUAAGUGGAUAAGGCAAUACAUGAACUUGAAACGAUUAACAUUGUUGGGUGUUAAUAUUUUCUUUUUUAACUUAUGCAGGAAAAAUGUGUCAUCGUUGGUUUUGUUUAAUGUGAACGAAAUGGUGCAAGAACAAAAUAUGGAUCAGAGGGGGGAUAUUUUGGAAGUCACACUCAAUAAGCAGAAUUUCUGAAUUUUCCAUAUCUGAAUUUCUUGAUUUAUAUGUAGUAUUAUGGUCAUUAUUGUAUGCUUAUAUUGGUGUUAUUUUAUUUAGAUCUUUCUAAUUUGUUUAUCAGUUUUUGAGAAAUGAAAUUAAAAUUUCCUCGUUUAUUGAAAAUCGAAAUGAUUUUAGCUGGUUAAUAAAUUUAGAGUGAGUUGCAUUAGUACUCUAUUGCCACUCAGUUCAGCACAUUUGUAAGUAUUCAUGUAAAGUUGACAAAGUUUUGUGCUGACCAUGAACUUAGCACAAUCCCCCUCAUUUAUCCAUGCUUGUGACUGACUUCUUGUACAAUUAAAUAAUAAACUUAAAGCAUCAAAUGCAAUCACGGUCCAAUUAGGUGAUAGGAUUUAUUAGAUUAAGAUUUAGGUGUAGUAGUUCAAAUUAGGGAGUCUUUUCUUUCACCGUAUUUGGUUAUUUUCCCUUGGCAAUUAGAUGAUGUAUUUGGUGUGUCAUGCUUUAUAGUUUCUGGUCUCUGUAAAAAUGUCAUUUUUUGGAAACAACAAGUUGGAAUUUCGUAGUUAGAACAUGAGUUGACUGAAUACAUCUGGAUUCGAUCACUUGUGCAAAUCACUUCAGGUUUCAGGAUUGGAAUCUGUAAAAAGCUCAAGCGGCAAUCUCCUACCGAAGAUGGAGCGAAACCAACCAAACUUAGAUCAAUGUUGAACUGUGUUGUAGACAAAUUACACAGAGGGUUGGAGAUGCUUCUGAAAGAACUAAAAGUUUUAUAGAAGGAUUGGAAUCGUUCUCACUGAAUAGGUUUCGGGCCAAAAUGUAGGAUCUAGGAAGGAAAUUCUAGAUCCUUGCAGGCCGUUUCUUCAUAAAUGGAAUAAAAUAUUUGUAUUGGCAUAUGUCAUUGCUCUCUUUUUAACCCUUGUUCUAUUAUAUUCUUGUGAUCAAUACAUGAGGAUCGAAAUUUGGAGGACA